CCUGGCUCAGGAUGAACGCUAGCUACAGGCUUAACACAUGCAAGUCGAGGGGCAGCAUGGUCUUAGCUUGCUAAGGCCGAUGGCGACCGGCGCACGGGUGAGUAACACGUAUCCAACCUGCCGUCUACUCUUGGACAGCCUUCUGAAAGGAAGAUUAAUACAAGAUGGCAUCAUGAGUCCGCAUGUUCACAUGAUUAAAGGUAUUCCGGUAGACGAUGGGGAUGCGUUCCAUUAGAUAGUAGGCGGGGUAACGGCCCACCUAGUCUUCGAUGGAUAGGGGUUCUGAGAGGAAGGUCCCCCACAUUGGAACUGAGACACGGUCCAAACUCCUACGGGAGGCAGCAGUGAGGAAUAUUGGUCAAUGGGCGAGAGCCUGAACCAGCCAAGUAGCGUGAAGGAUGACUGCCCUAUGGGUUGUAAACUUCUUUUAUAAAGGAAUAAAGUCGGGUAUGGAUACCCGUUUGCAUGUACUUUAUGAAUAAGGAUCGGCUAACUCCGUGCCAGCAGCCGCGGUAAUACGGAGGAUCCGAGCGUUAUCCGGAUUUAUUGGGUUUAAAGGGAGCGUAGAUGGAUGUUUAAGUCAGUUGUGAAAGUUUGCGGCUCAACCGUAAAAUUGCAGUUGAUACUGGAUAUCUUGAGUGCAGUUGAGGCAGGCGGAAUUCGUGGUGUAGCGGUGAAAUGCUUAGAUAUCACGAAGAACUCCGAUUGCGAAGGCAGCCUGCUAAGCUGCAACUGACAUUGAGGCUCGAAAGUGUGGGUAUCAAACAGGAUUAGAUACCCUGGUAGUCCACACGGUAAACGAUGAAUACUCGCUGUUUGCGAUAUACUGCAAGCGGCCAAGCGAAAGCGUUAAGUAUUCCACCUGGGGAGUACGCCGGCAACGGUGAAACUCAAAGGAAUUGACGGGGGCCCGCACAAGCGGAGGAACAUGUGGUUUAAUUCGAUGAUACGCGAGGAACCUUACCCGGGCUUAAAUUGCAGAUGAAUUACGGUGAAAGCCGUAAGCCGCAAGGCAUCUGUGAAGGUGCUGCAUGGUUGUCGUCAGCUCGUGCCGUGAGGUGUCGGCUUAAGUGCCAUAACGAGCGCAACCCUUGUUGUCAGUUACUAACAGGUUCCGCUGAGGACUCUGACAAGACUGCCAUCGUAAGAUGUGAGGAAGGUGGGGAUGACGUCAAAUCAGCACGGCCCUUACGUCCGGGGCUACACACGUGUUACAAUGGGGGGUACAGAGGGCCGCUACCACGCGAGUGGAUGCCAAUCCCCAAAACCUCUCUCAGUUCGGACUGGAGUCUGCAACCCGACUCCACGAAGCUGGAUUCGCUAGUAAUCGCGCAUCAGCCACGGCGCGGUGAAUACGUUCCCGGGCCUUGCACACACCGCCC
rnacentral:rRNA from 1 species